AAAGCUAUCUAGUAGGCUGCUAACCUAUAAAUAAUGAUUACAUUUAGCUUUU
rnacentral:tRNA from 1 species